rnacentral:rRNA from 1 species
UUCCGGUUGAUCCCGCCGGACCUGACUGCUAUCGGAUUGAUACUAAGCCAUGCGAGUCUUUGUAGUAAUACAAGGCAGACGGCUCAGUAACACGUAGUCAACCUACCCUAUGGACGGGAAUAAUCUCGGGAAACUGAGGAUAAUACCCGACAUAUCAUCAUGCCUGGAAUGGUUGGUGAUUAAAAUGAUUCGUCGCCGUAGGAUGGGACUGCGACCUAUCAGCUUGUUGGUGGGGUAAAGGCCCACCAAGGCGAUUACAGGUACGGGCUCUGAGAGGAGAAGCCUGGAGAUGGGUACUGAGACACGGACCCAGGCCCUAUGGGGCGCAGCAGGCGAGAAAACUUUGCAAUGUGCGAAAGCACGACAAGGUUAAUCCGAGUGAUUUCUGCUAAAGGAAUCUUUUGCCAGUUCUAAAAAUACUAGUGAAUAAGGGGUGGGCAAGUUCUGGUGUCAGCCGCCGCGGUAAAACCAGCACCUCAAGUGGUCAGGAGGAUUAUUGGGCCUAAAGCAUCCGUAGCCUGCUCUGUAAGUUUUCGGUUAAAUCUAUAUGCUCAACGUAUAGGCUGCCGAAAAUACUGCAGUGCUAGGAAGUGGGAGAGGUAGACGGUACUUGGUAGGAAGGGGUAAAAUCCUUUGAUCUAUCGAUGACCACCUGUGGCGAAGGCGGUCUACCAGAACACGUUCGACGGUGAGGGAUGAAAGCUGGGGGAGCAAACCGGAUUAGAUACCCGGGUAGUCCCAGCUGUAAACGAUGCAGACUCGAUGAUGCAUUGGCAUAUAGCCGGUGCAGUGUCGCAGGGAAGCCGUUAAGUCUGCCGCCUGGGAAGUACGUACGCAAGUAUGAAACUUAAAGGAAUUGGCGGGGGAGCACCACAAGGGGUGAAGCCUGCGGUUCAAUUGGAUUCAACGCCGGG